ACAGCCUCUCCCCCAGUCCCUGUCUCCGAGGCCUGCUUGCUAGGUGGGGCGACUCUUCUGUGAGCUGCAGCUGUGGAGCAGAGAGAAGCCCUCCCCACCCAGGACUGAGAGGCUGGAGACCCUGGGCUCGCCAGGGCCCAGAAGACAAAGCCUUGGGGCGUCCCUGGGGUCUGGGAGGCAGGCAGACAGAGCUCAUGGUCUGUGGCUGCUCUGCCCUCCUUCCUCUCCCCAACCCCAGGCCCACCAUGCCUGCAACCCCCAACUUCCACGCAAAUCCCAGCUCCACCAGCCGCUGGAUUCCCCGCCAGCCAAUGCCCGUGGCCUGGACCUCUGUGCAGAAGACCUCGGCCCUCCUGUGGCUGCUGCUCCUAGGCACCUCCCUGUCCCCUACAAGGGGGCAGGCCAAGAUUCCUCUGGAAACAGUGAAGCUAUGGGCUGACACAUUCGGCGGGGACCUGUAUAACACUGUGACCAAAUACUCGGGCUCCCUCUUGCUGCAGAAGAAGUACAAGGAUGUGGAGUCCAGUCUGAAGAUCGAGGAGGUGGAUGGCUUGGAGCUGGUGAGGAAGUUCUCAGAGGACAUGGAGAACAUGCUGCGGAGGAAAGUCGAGGCCGUCCAGAAUCUGGUGGAGGCUGCUGAGGAGGCCGACCUGAACCACGAAUUCAAUGAAUCCCUGGUGUUCGACUAUUACAACUCGGUCCUGAUCAACGAGAGGGACGAGAAGGGCAACUUUGUGGAGCUGGGCGCCGAGUUCCUCCUGGAAUCCAAUGCGCACUUCAGCAACCUGCCGGUGAACACCUCCAUCAGCAGCGUGCAGCUGCCCACCAACGUGUACAACAAAGACCCAGAUAUUUUAAAUGGAGUCUACAUGUCUGAAGCCUUGAAUGCUGUCUUUGUGGAGAACUUCCAGAGAGACCCAACGUUGACCUGGCAAUAUUUUGGCAGUGCAACUGGAUUCUUCAGGAUCUAUCCAGGUAUAAAAUGGACACCUGAUGAGAAUGGAGUCAUUACUUUUGACUGCCGAAACCGCGGCUGGUACAUUCAAGCUGCUACUUCUCCCAAGGACAUAGUGAUUUUGGUGGACGUGAGCGGCAGUAUGAAGGGGCUGAGGAUGACUAUUGCCAAGCACACCAUCACCACCAUCUUGGACACCCUGGGGGAGAAUGACUUCGUUAAUAUCAUUGCGUACAAUGACUACGUCCAUUACAUCGAGCCUUGUUUUAAAGGGAUCCUCGUCCAGGCGGACCGAGACAAUCGAGAGCAUUUCAAACUGCUGGUGGAGGAGUUGAUGGUCAAAGGUGUGGGGGUCGUGGACCAAGCCCUGAGAGAAGCCUUCCAGAUCCUGAAGCAGUUCCAAGAGGCCAAGCAAGGAAGCCUCUGCAACCAGGCCAUCAUGCUCAUCAGCGACGGCGCCGUGGAGGACUAUGAGCCGGUGUUUGAGAAGUAUAACUGGCCAGACUGUAAGGUCCGAGUUUUCACUUACCUCAUUGGGAGAGAAGUGUCUUUUGCUGACCGCAUGAAGUGGAUUGCAUGCAACAACAAAGGCUACUACACGCAGAUCUCAACCCUGGCGGACACCCAGGAGAACGUGAUGGAAUACCUGCACGUGCUCAGCCGCCCCAUGGUCAUCAACCACGACCAUGACAUCAUCUGGACAGAGGCCUACAUGGACAGCAAGCUCCUCAGCUCACAGGCUCAGAGCGUGAUGCUACUCACCACUGUGGCCAUGCCAGUCUUCAGCAAGAAGAACGAAACGCGAUCCCAUGGCAUUCUCCUGGGUGUGGUGGGCUCAGAUGUGGCCCUGAGAGAGCUGAUGAAGCUGGCACCCCGGUACAAGCUUGGAGUGCACGGAUAUGCCUUUCUGAACACCAACAAUGGCUACAUCCUCUCCCAUCCCGACCUCCGGCCCCUGUACAGAGAGGGGAAGAAACUAAAACCCAAACCUAACUACAACAGUGUGGAUCUCUCGGAAGUGGAAUGGGAAGACCAGGCUGAAUCUCUGAGAACAGCCAUGAUCAAUAGGGAAACAGGUACUCUCUCGAUGGAUGUGAAGGUUCCGAUGGAUAAAGGGAAGCGAGUUCUUUUCCUGACCAAUGACUACUUCUUCACGGACAUCAGCGACACUCCUUUCAGUUUGGGGGUGGUGCUGUCCCGGGGCCACGGAGAAUACAUCCUUCUGGGGAACACGUCUGUGGAAGAAGGCCUUCACGACUUGCUUCACCCAGACCUGGCCCUGGCCAGUGACUGGUAAGUGAGGAGUAAAAAAUGGGAGGGAGACAGGUGGAAUUUUUUGAGAUAACACUGACUUUCCUGGGUUUCAGGAUCUACUGCAUCACAGAUAUUGACCCAGACCACCGGAAGCUCAGCCAGCUAGAGGCCAUGAUCCGCUUCCUCACCAGGAAGGACCCAGACCUGGAGUGUGACGAGGAGCUGGUCCGGGAGGUGCUGUUUGACGCGGUGGUGACAGCCCCCAUGGAAGCCUACUGGACAGCACUGGCCCUCAACAUCUCCAAAGAGUCUGAGCAGGUGGUGGACAUGGCCUUCCUGGGCACCCGGGCUGGCCUCCUGAGAAGCAGCUUGUUCGUGGGCUCCGAGAAGGUCUCCGACAGGAAGUUCCUGACGCCUGAAGACGAGGCCAGCGUGUUCACCCUGGACCGCUUCCCGCUGUGGUACCGCCAGGCCUCAGAGCAUCCUGCUGGCAGCUUCGUCUUCAACCUCCGCUGGGCAGAAGGACCAGAAAGUGCGGGGGAGCCCAUGGUGGUGACGGCAAGCACAGCUGUGGCGGUGACGGUGGACAAGAAGACAGCCAUCGCUGCAGCCGUGGGCGUCCAAAUGAAGCUGGAAUUCCUCCAGCGCAAAUUCUGGGCGGCAACGCGGCAGUGCAGCACCGUGGACGGGCCGUGCACACAGAGCUGCGAGGACAGUGAUCUGAACUGCUUCGUCAUUGACAACAACGGGUUCAUUCUGAUCUCCAAGAGGUCCCAAGAGAUGGGAAGAUUUCUGGGGGAGGUGGAUGGUGCUGCCAUGACCCAGCUGCUCAGCAUGGGGGUGUUCAGCCAAGUGACCAUGUAUGACUAUCAGGCCAUGUGCAAACCCUCGAGUCACCACCACAGCGCAGCCCAGCCCCUGGUCAGCCCAAUUUCUGCCUUCUUGACGGCGACCAGGUGGCUGCUGCAGGAGCUGGUGCUGUGAGUGGGGGUAGACAUGGGGCUGGUGGAGGGCUGCAUGCGAGGGUAGCUUAGGAGGGUGUCCUUGAGCAGGAGGCUGCAAGGUCUCCAGGACAACCCACUUGCUACCAGACCCCGGGGAAGGAGGGCACAAUCCCUGGGCAUGGACACCACCUCUUCCCUGAAUGCUGCCCCUGGGAGGGACCUCAUUGCUCACACCAGAGCCCUCAAGCAGGGAAGAGGGUGUCCUGGAGGAGAGGGGAUGGGCCGGGGGCUGUCAGGGAUACUCCAGCCCCUUGGGAACCCAAGUCAGGAGGGCUCGGAGGUCUCCGAGAUUCAGUCCUGUGUCCGACAGGUUCCUGCUGGAGUGGAGUGUCUGGGGCUCCUGGUACGACAGAGGGGCCGAGGGUGAGUGCACGGAGCUGCAGGGCCAUGUGCUGAAGAGCAGUGGCAUUUUGGUCCACUAAUGUGAGACCAUUCCCCGUGGGGUGGGUGACAGUGGGGAUAGGCGGCCCUGAAGCAUCGUUGUUCACGUCUCACCCUGCGUGGCCUUCUCUCAUCGCCUCCCUCACUCCUGGCUCUGUGUGUGACAUCAUCUUGGGACACCACCACUCCAUGUGCCAUCAUCACCACCCCAUGACAUCCUGCCCUCAUGUGCCACCAUGUUCUUCCUGUGCCGUGUCCACCCUGUGCUGGGCUUAUGUUCCGGCCAGCCAAAAGCGUCUUCCAUCACUCCCACAAACACAAGAAGCAGGACCAGCUGCAGCCCUGCGACACGGAGUACCCCGUGUUCGUGUACCAGCCGGCCAUCCAGGAGGCCAACGGGAUCAUCGAGUGCGGGCCCUGCCAGAAGGUAUUUGUGGUGCAGCAGAUUCCCAACAGUAACCUCCUCCUCCUGGUGACAGACCCCACCUGUGACUGCAGCAUCUUCCCACCAGUGCUGCAGGAGGCGACAGAAGUCAAAUAUAAUGCCUCUGUCAAAUGUGACCGGAUGCGCUCCCAGAAGCUCCGCCGGCGACCAGACUCCUGCCACGCCUUCCAUCCAGAGGAGAAUGCCCAGGACUGCGGCGGCGCCUCGGACACCUCAGCCUCGCCGCCCCUACUCCUGCUGCCUGUGUGUGCCUGGGGGCUACUGCCCCAACUCCUGCGGUGACACCACCCAGCCUGACCUGUGUUUUGGCAAGGUGAUCCUUCCAGGGCCAUCCCAAAAAGUCAGCACUGACAUGGGAUGCAGCUAACUGCAGUUGGGUCGCCCCCAGGCCAACGCUCCUCUCAAUCCUGGGCUGGUGGCCCCUGCCUCCGGAGAAUGCUGGAUGGAACAAGAAACCAAUCACCUGGCACCACUUUCAAGAUGCUUCAUGGUGCCCGGUGCCAUCCGCCCUAGGUCUCAAUAUGAGCAUACUUCUAACCUAACCGUCCUGUCUCCUCUUUGGGAAGCCAGCAUGAGCUCAGCUUGGACCAAGACAAAAUAAUUUAGUUCUUCCUGUACUCCAGAGUCCAGACCCAGCCAAGAAAGGGUCAGUUGUUUCUGACCCUUUCUGUCGGAGUGGUGUCUGGUAGAACCCAAGGACUUCUGGGUACUGAGAAAAAGCAGCAGAAUGAGGCCAAAUGCGGAGAUGAGGCUAAGGCAAGAACAUCCCGCAACUAAAGCAUAGAUUCCCCAAAGUGAGGCUCGUGGUGGGAGGCAGCUCACCUUCCUAGCUGCUGCUCAAGAAGGUUUUGACUAUGUUGGGGUGGGAGCUGGGUAAGGGAAUGGUCAAGACUGAGAAAGGAAUGAAAUCCAUUCAGGAAAUAUUGACAGGGCUACAUGUGAUGUCCCCAAACUGCUGCUAUUGAAGAACUUCCCAAAACUUCUUUACAAAGCCCUAAAGGAAAGUUUGCAUCUAUGAAAAGCCAGUAGGCCGAGACAUGCAAUUGCUGCAUGGAAAUUGAUGUACAUUUAGGGGACGGCAAAAAAAGCUGUAAAAUAGUGAAAAAGAGCAGUCGUUGUACUCUUUUCUGGCCAAAGAUUUACAAAAGAAUCUACUUGACUCUGUCCCUGGAGUGAACUCCUUAGGGUUGGAACUUGUGGGAACAUUCCAACUUGCUCAGCAGGGUCCACUGGGAGGGAAGCUCUAUCUGGGAACUCACCCCCAGCACACACACAUCUCCCCCAGGGUCCCAAGGCCCUGCAGCUUCCUCCCCCGACCAAACCCCAAGACCUGGAUCCCAGGCGACAACAGUCUUCACAAUGAGAGCAACAUUAAGGGCAAAACCAUGGAGAAAUUUGGGAGAGGCUGGCCUCAAAUCUUUCCGUUUAACGAACCCCAGUGAUGGACAUGGAUAGUAUACAGGGCUUUGGGGGCCCUUCCCCCACUCCUCCAUCACCCUCAGCCUCCACACUUCACAAGUUUCCUACCAGCAAAUAGCCCUAACUUGCCUCUAGAGUAGGCCAAAUGCCAACUCUGUAAAACACACUUACAUUACAGGUUACAGAAUGUCACUCUUACCAUCAUGUCUUGCAACAACCCUGUGAGGGCAGUAUUAAUGCCCCCUUACAGCAGAAGACACUGAAGCUCGGAGAAGCCAGUUUAAGUGGCAGAAUUAUGCUAGAACAGCUAAGGUUUACACGUACCAAAUAAAUAACAUGUUUCAGCUCAUUCCAUCCUCACAACAGCCCCCUGAAAGUGGGUACUAUCAUUAGUCCUAUGUUAUAGAAACUGCAGCCGAGUUGAAAAUUGCCUCCAAAUUAUUGGAAGAGUAUGUGAAGAUUGAAUGUGAUAUAUUCACAUAACAUGCUUGAAACUGCCUGGCAUAUAGUAAACGCUAAAUAAAUACAUGCUAACUGCGA
rnacentral:sRNA from 1 species